ACUGAAUAUUUUGUGUUCAGGGGUUGAAGGGACCUCAUGGACCAACAGGACAGUCGGGUCAUCCUGGUCCAGCAGGACUACCAGGUCUGCCUGGAGACUCUGGACUCCCGGGACAAGUGUUCGUCCUUCCAGGUCUGCAGGGAGAAGCAGGAAGUCCAGGUCCAGCAGCCGAAUGCAGCUGUCCACAGGUUCAGACGUCCCAGAGACUGAAGGACCGAAUCCAGACGGUUUUUAUCGCAGACGGGGAGAAGGAGAUGAGGAAGCUUCGGUCGGAGAACGUGAUGGUUCUGAGAACAGACAGAAAAGCUCUUUACAUUUACACCGAAUCCCAGUGGAUCAACGUUCUGGAGGACCCCCGACACUGAUCCAGCUGAUCGAUGGACGUCACAUCAGACAGCAUCUUAUUCUAUUUACAGUCUGAUGAUUUAUGUGCAGCAUGUGCAGCAUUUCAUCCACUAAACAACUGUUUCUGGUUACACAGUUAAACGACCCUUAACUCUGUGUUCUUCCCUGUAAUUUGACUUGUUUUACUCCCUAAAUCUGUGAUAUUUCUUUAUUCUACUGCCCUGUAGAUGCUGCUGCAGUGAUCCAACAAAGAGAUCAAUAAAAGUCUGAUUCCUGCCUCUAACCUCCA